UGCCCGGAGGGUUGGGGGUGGGGCCACAUCAGUGAUUUCUGAUUGUUUUUUUUCUAUCUCUUUCUAUCUCUUCAGUGCCUCUUUCAGUGAUAAGAAGUUCAAACCAGGUACUGUGAGUGCUCACCUGAUUUUUGGUUAUGAAGGUGUUUUGUCUGUGUAGAUAGUUGUUAACUUGGUCUCCUUGCAUGGGAGGAUGAUCGGUGGAGCCUUGUAUUCUGUGACUUUACUUCACUGGUCUCCUAUAUCCCAGCCUCUUUCUUUCUUUCUUUCUCUCUUUCUUUCUCUCUCUUUCUUUCUUAUAGAGCCUUGCUCUGUCACCUGGCCUGGAGUGCAGUGGCACAAUCUUGGCUCACUGCAGCCUCUGCCCCCUGGAUUUCAGCAAUUAUCUUGUCUCAGCCUCCUGGGUAGCUGGGAUGACAGGCACAUGCCAGCAUGCCUGGCUAAUAUUUGUUUUUUUAGUAGAGACGGGGUUUUGCCAUGUUGGCCAGGCUGGUCUCGAACUCCUGACCUCAGGUGAUCUGCCCCCCUCGUCCUCCCAAAGUGCUGGGAUUACAGGCGUGAGCCACCACGCCUGGCUCAGCUUAUUUCUUUAGUCACUCUAGUCAAAAUGUAUUUGUUUAUUUGUUGCUUUAGUAUUUUUUUUGUAGGGAAAAGGCAAAAACUCAGUCAUUCAUCAUGUUCAUAAACUUCCAAUCUUGAUUGGAUAGUGUAAAUAAAAGAUAAUUAUUGGUUAAAAAAUACAAAUUAAUGGUUUGUACGCAUUUUUCUGACAUAGUCAUGGGGCCAGCUGUCUGUGCAGGCAUACAUUCGUGCAGCAGGUUGCUUGCUUCUGGGGCAGACUUGCCAGAAGCCAAUCUAGGGUCAGUUACACCACUGUGCAAGAUGGCAUUUUCCUUGAGAGGUAAAGUGUCAUGCAGGCUUAGACAGUGGGAUCACGGCCAUUCUGCUGGGUCUAGGUUUUGAGCAGCCAGGUUUGUUGUGCUUAAACCACCAAUGUGAGUAUGGUGGAAUGACUGGAGUCUCAGGAAUGGAGAGAUAUGACGGCUACUGGCAGCAGAUCAGGACACACUGUGAUUUGGUCCAGUUUCAAGAUAGCACUGUGCCAUGAGAGUUUGGGCCAAGAGGGUUGGGGGUAUACAACAUGAGCAAAGUAGUGGCAUGAAUUCCAGGAAGCUCUCCAAACUGGAUCCAGGGCUCAUGAGGACCGUGGGUUUGUCGUGUAAUAAGAACUGCAAGUGUGUGCAUCAAUAAUGAGGAUGCUGGGAGCCUCCAGCUUAUGUUUUCUCCACAAUGAGAAUCCCUUCUGGCUACAAGCUGAUCCCAGCAGGGAAGAUUAGAUCCUGGAGAUGGGAAGUUUCACUUCCCCUGUAUGCUUGCUUUCAUCCUGGGUUUCUGCGUCCCAGAAGAAUUUUUCCAUUCCUUUGUUGUACUUGGUUGUAUUCCAGCUUAUUUCUUCAGUCACUCUAGUCAAAAAAUAAUUGCUUAUUUAUUGUUUUGGUCUUUUUGGAAGGAAAGGGCAAGAGUCAGUCACUUCUAGUCAGUCAUCCUUUUCAUAAACUUCCAAUCAGUCCUUAACUCUAUGAAGUGCAAUAUCAAGGCAUCAGUUGGUUUGGUGUCUGGUGACAGCCUGGUCUGCAUUUCCAAAAUGGCAUCUGUUGCUGCAACCUCUGGAGGGAAUGAACUCUGUUUCCUCACAUGGUAGAAGAGUAAAUGAGCAAAGAGGGGCUA
rnacentral:lncRNA from 10 species